UGGGGGGCGACGGGCCCCUGGUUUCGGGUAUAUAAAGAAGGGUUCGGCUUUUGACUGAAGCAGAAAGAUUCCAGGGUUCAUCUAAGGAUUAGUUGGCAGCAACGAAGGAAAAUUUAGUUCCAAGAUGAAAUCUGUCUGCUUAAUCUUCGCCUUCCUGCUGGUGUUGUCGACUAUCCUCUGUACCGGCCGGGCCGAACCGAAAUUCAAGAAGAAAGGUUUCGGCGGCGGGUUUGGGGGUGGACACUUCUACCGACCGGUUCCGGUCUACAGGCCAGUUCCGGUCUACAGGCCAGUUCCGGUGUACCGGCCAGUUCCGGUCUACAGGCCAGUUCCGAUAGUCCACGCUCCCAUAUAUGGAGGUGGGUUCGGUGGUGGUUUCGGGAAGAAAGGAAAAUUCGGCAAGUUCGGAUAAGAAGUGAGGAAUUUUUUCCUACUAGACGAAGGGGACAUUUGAAAGCAGUGACGUAGUGGGUUUUUACAUCUUUGUGCCCUAAAUAUAUUUGGCAUUAAGGGGACGAUGCACUCUUUUCUAGCAUCUUUUGGCAUCUUGGUGCCCUACAACCUGACACCAAAGGCGUGAUAAUUAGGUUAAAAUUGACAAAAAUUGACCAAAAUUGACACCAUAUAUGUUGGCAAUCUUUUGACACCACCAUUAAGGACACGAUACACUAAUUUCUAGGCAUCUUUUGGCAUCUAAGUGCCCUAAAUCCUAACACCAAAGACAUAAUAAUUGGGGUAAAAUUGACAAAAAUUGACACCAUAUAUGUUGGCAAUCUUUUGACACCACUUUACCAUCAUUAAUAGCGUCUGAAUAGGGGCAAUUUGUACCAGCAACACAAGGGGUACAAUUUUGGGUUCUUUUGGCAUCUUGGUGCCCAAAAACUUGACACCAAAGGCAUAAUAAUGGUGGUAAGAUUGACACCAUAUAUGUUGGCGUUGUAACACCACUUUUACCAUCAUAGUAGCCUCAAAAUAGGGGCAGUUUGAAUUUAGUGACCUUAAAAUCUUGACACCAAGAGCAUCAUAAUGUUGGCAAAGAUGACGCCACACAUGUUGGCAAUGGAGUGACACCACUUUUACCAUCAUUAAUAGCCUCUUAGAACAAUCUAAUGAAAAUUUUAACCAAUAACACAAGGGAACAGUUUUAGCAUCUUUUGGCAUCUUGGUUCCCUAAAAGAAACUUGGCACCGAGGCCUUAAUAAUGGUGGCGAAAUUGACACCGUAUAUGUUGGUACUUGUAUGACACUAUUUUUGCUAUCAUGAAUGAUAACCUUUUGAUGAAUCAAAAUAAGGCCAGUUUGAACCAGUGACACAAUGGGCAAACUUUUGGUAUCUUUUGUCCUGACAACUUGGCACCAAGGGAAAAUAUUGGUGGUAACAGACACCACAUAAUGUUGGCACUCAUGCGACACCAAUUUCACCACUAAUAAUAGCCACUUUGGGCAAUAUUCAAUAGGGAGGUGCUUUCUGCCAUAGGAACUUCUCCUUUCCCAGAAGAAUGUCUAAAUACUGAUUUCAUGAAAGUUCAUUGCCUCCAUCUGUUGCUUGAAUAAAAUUGGCAUUAUCUGUCAUUCGUAUUCAAAAAGCUUUUAAUUUCCAUUCAAAAAUCCAUAAACUAUCAAUUGUAUACUCCAAAAUGCUAGAAUUAUUCCUUGUUUUUAUGUAAUCUUUCAAAGCUGGUAAAUUUCCCAUAAACAAAAGCUUAUAAUUUCCAUUUCAAAAUCUGUAUACAAUCAUUUGUAUAUACCAUAAAGUUAGGAAUAUUUUUUUAUGUAAUCUUUCAAAGCUGUUAAACAUCUAGUGAAUGUAUGCCUGCAGAAAAAAAUCUACUAUAUACAAUCAUUUGUAUAUUACAGAAUAUAUAAAUAUUCUUUGUUAUCUAUAUAAAUUUCAGUGCUGCAAAACAUCUUUUCGUGAUUGUAUUUAGAGACUGCUUUUCAUAUAUAAAGGUUUGCAAUGUACUUUUGGGAUGCGUCUGUCCUAUGAAUUGUGAAAAUCAGACUGUUUGUUUAUUGUGAAUCAAGUCUCUAUGCUUGCCGAUUGUCCUGUAUCUUUUUGUACAAAAAUAUACACAAACAAUUCAUAA